GCCCCUGUAGCUCAACUGGCAGAGCAACUGACUCUUAAUCAGUAGGUUCAAGGUUCGAGUCCUUGCGGGGGCAC
rnacentral:tRNA from 1 species